rnacentral:rRNA from 1 species
UAGGGAAUCUUCGGCAAUGGGGGGAACCCUGACCGAGCAACGCCGCGUGAGUGAAGAAGGUUUUCGGAUCGUAAAGCUCUGUUGUUAAGGAAGAACGAGUGUGAGAAUGGAAAGUUCAUGCUGUGACGGUACUUAACCAGAAAGGGACGGCUAACUACGUGCCAGCAGCCGCGGUAAUACGUAGGUCCCGAGCGUUGUCCGGAUUUAUUGGGCGUAAAGCGAGCGCAGGCGGUUAGAAAAGUCUGAAGUGAAAGCCCCCGGCUCAACCGGGGAGGGUCAUUGGAAACUGGUUGACUUGAGUGCAGAAGAGGAGAGUGGAAUUCCAUGUGUAGCGGUGAAAUGCGUAGAUAUAUGGAGGAACACCAGUGGCGAAGGCGACUCUCUGGUCUGUAACUGACGCUGAGGCUCGAAAGCGUGGGUAGCAAACAGG